rnacentral:misc_RNA from 1 species
GAGAGGAAAAGAAAUGGAGCUGAAAAUGAGUGGAAAUGCAGUGAAGACGUUCGCCAGAUCCAUAACGUGCCUUGCACGCAUUGGCAAUGAGGUCGCCAUUCAAGCGUCUUCUACCCAGCUCACGUUUCACACUCUUAACUCCUCAAGGUCGGCCUAUCAAUCAAUUACAUUCAAACCUGAUUAUUUUGAUGUCUUCACUGUUUCUGCUCCACAGGUGCAAUGCAGUGUGCUCUUGAAGGCUAUUUGUUCUGUAUUAAGAACACCAAUUGCCAGUAUAGAUCAUUUGACUGUCUCAUUGCCUAAUCCUGAUGCAUCAAAGGUGCAGUGGACACUCAACUGCCAUAAUGGUAUGAGGAAAGCUUAUUGGAUUACUUGCAAUGUUGAACCUGACAUACAACACUUAUCCCUUGAU